ACGGGUAGCCUGUGGUGAAAUGCUAUCCCAGACUCCUUUUUAAGCGUUGUUGCUUCCUUCGUUCUUUUACCACGAGGUCACAACGAACGCGGUCGACGUUCUAAAGCUCUCCCAAAUAUCUUUCGAAAUUUUGGUUAUUCCAAGCUGUAUUCUGUAAGAAGAUGCCUCCUUUCGAACAUCCGACGGUUUUUAAAAGAAUUCAACUUCACAUGACAACAGCAAGAAUUACGAAAAAGGAUGGAUGAGAGUGGUAUUAGUUUGUCCAGCCUCACGUGCGCAGGUUCUUGUGUCCAAUCAGAAAUGGGAGGAGUUCUACCAAAAGAACUGCUGUGUUUUAUGGGUUUACAAGCCAUGAAGACUUCUUUACUAAAUAGCAAUCUCAUUGUCUAGCCCUUCAGCUUUAUGGCAAUAUGCAAGCCCCAUUUAGGCUGCUGCUGGCAGCAUCUCUAGCAUCAAGUUGGGGUUGCAUAUCACAUUUUGUGCUGUUGGGGAAGAAACCAUCUCCGACUGUGUAUUGAGGAUGCAAUUUAUCGUAGCAAGAUACAUUUCAUGGAGGAUAGAACCAGCGAUUCAAUAAAAUAGAGUAAUAGACACUUUAUGGGGGAUAAAACCAAACACAAGCGUGGGCCUGCUCUACUUGGAGCUGUUAUUAUUGAAUAAACAUUUUAUCAUAUGUUA